CAAGAAAAAAAUAACCAACCACAAACUAACCAUCAAUUUAAAUUACACUUAAACCAUUUCCACCAACGAUAUUAGGUUUCACGUUAAGGAAAACCUAAAGCAGGCCUUCAACCCGCCAUAGGCCUAUAAUAGCAAAUACAAACAAUACCAUUAACCCUGUAAUGCCCAUUUCUGUAUACUCAUGCUACAAUGCAUAGCCAGCCCUCUAUAUUAUUAUUUUUAAAUCUGCACAAGCCACUUUUUCAUAUGCAGUACAUUAUGUGUUGCCGGAAAGAGUAGAACAUUUGUUUUGAAGAAAUGCAAUCUAGUUUCAUAAACAAAGUAGCGUUUCCCAUUAAAAAAAUGCUUGGACAUUACAUGGUUAAUAACACAUUUUUAUUCAGGAACCGAUAUUCACUGCAUCACCGUACACUCAGGUAGGCCUACACAAAAGACAAGAAUUGGCAUGACGUUCAAAUGAGACAGCUUGCUGUGCAAUGAUAUAAUGACCCAUGAGCGUGAGAUGUGUUGUAUACUGUACUUAACAAUAAAAUAAUGUGUAUUUGCACACCCUCUCUUAAGUCAUAUUGUCAAUCUGCCGGUGUGGUGUUAUUACGUGGUACGCGUUAAAACGUGGUGCGCCGUGUACUGCGCUUGCCCAGGCAUGAGCAAAUGAUUUUAGUUUACAAAACAAGGACGCGUCCAUUUGAAAGGGGUGUGACGUACUGAGUUUGGCCCUUAAAGUUAUUUUUAAUAUAUAUAUUUUUUCACAAUUCAGCAAAUGUAUGUGUUUAACUGAUGAGCAACAAAUUGGGUUAUCUAAAAUUGUAAACAUAUUCGAUUUUGUGGGUGAACUAAGGUCCUGUUUGUAGUGAUUUGUGCAGUAGUUAAUCACCACAUCGACAGGGUACCAUUUUUUGACACCAAAUGGGUACAGAUACCAAAUUCGGACACUGUACCACUUUCUGGCCCUACACUGGUAAGUAGGAUAUUGAUUUGCGAAAUACUGUAUAACAAAACAACAACACAAAAACAAUGACACGCAAACUUUGUUUAAGUUUACAGUAAGGUCCUACAUAUUUUUAAUGACAGCCACAAUGAGUCAGUGUCUGAGGCGAGAUUUGAACCAGGGACCUUUUGCUUACAAGUCCUUUUCUUUAACCACUGGACCACACAGCCUCCUAAGUAUAGUAAAAGGGAAAAGGAGCUGGCAUAUUUCUUAUGAAAUUACUAUAGAAAUUGUACACCAACAUAUUAGAAAUUAACUAAUUAUUACCGGAGUGAUUGCAGUGAUUCUAGUGUGAAUGUAACUGCACACUUUAACAUGCAUUGGGCUAAGUCCAUAACUAAUACAUCUAAGCUGUUAGUAUAUGGUCACAAUGCUGAUAAAGGGUUAACACACACACACACACACACGCAUGCACGCACACACACACACACACACACACACACACACACAUUUGCAUUCCUAUAUUUGUGGGGACUUCUCAUUGACUCUCACUAUGUUUUUAUUUACUAUUUCUAACUCCAGUCAGACAAAACUCCACACAGGGUGAAAGUCGACCACAACCAAAAUAUUUUGGCAGUUUUUUUUAAGGCAUAUUUAGUUCUUAAAAAAGUUGGUUUACAAAGUGGGAACGUCCCCACAUUGUUUUUUCAGGAGUUACUAUCUCUGUGGGGACAUUUUGUCAAAUUUUGUUCCGCACAUUGAUAGUAAUACCUGCCCCCCCACACACAGACACACAUUCAUAGGAGUCCUUAAUUAUGUUUCUGGCCUGUUACAUGGUAAAGCUGCUCUGUCUUUUUCUUUAAAUAGAACACAUCAUUACACAUUUCAAAACACAAUAGUAUUAGUCGUGUUGUACAAUCCUGUUACCACCCAAGCUGGUACCCAGAGCCCAGGAGUUGUGUUUAUUAGAGAGUGUCACCCGAUCAAUAAUCAGUUUCAUCUGGUGGUGAAAAUGCUUAAUUUACCUUGGCAAUUACCUGCUAAAAGAGACACAAGCAACCACUUAGGUAAUUCAGGUUAACAUAACAAGUUCAAUGCAAGUUUAGUAUGGCCGGAUUGCUGGCACCUGAGUAAUCUCAGUACCGAUUGCAGAAGUAAUAUGUGCCAUUCACAUAUAACACAUAAUACAUAUUCCAUUGCAGUUCAAGUCCACAUUGUACUCUGAGCUUAAUUAGCCACACUUUAAAAGGUAACACACAUGCUACUAGUUAAAACACAUGUUUCACAGCUGUUAAGAACAGGUGGCAGCAUCAAUUAAAAGUAAAACCUGAAUCCCCCCCUGGCCACAUGAUAAAAUAUAGACGCUUUUUCAAAAUCACAAACCUUAAGGUGAAGCCGUCUUCCUUUUCAGCUGUAAACACUCAUAAACAAUAUUUAAUUAGCUGCAUCAUGUACAGUAUCUAAUCUGCAGAUAAAGGGAGAUGCCAGUUGGUAUAUUAAAAAGAAAACAAACACUAUCAGCUGGUUUCACAGAUCCACAUUAGUGCUCCUUCCUUACCUAAAGUAACAUUGGAUAGUCUAGGAUUAGUGCUAAUUGGGGGCUGUGAAACCAGCUGUAUAGCAUGCUGCUAUUGUACAAUGCAGUAGAUAUACUAUAUGGUGCCACAAUUUAAAACCAUUUGUAAACAUACAUAUGGUUGAUGUAGGUCCAGGUAAUAGCUGUAAUUCUGGAUUCACAGCCAGUGAGUUUCCAUAUUCAUCAGUGAUCAGUCUACCUAUUUCAACCCCAGUAUGUCUCUCCAUUGCUCUGUGUAGCUGAUGCUCCUGAGCCCUCCUCCUCAAGCUGUGCUGUGGUGCUCCCCCUUUGGGGGUGGUGUCCUAUGCUCCAGCCCCAGCUACUAAGCGAGGGCCCACACAUUCAACCACACACUGCAUUUUAGGCAUCAUUCUUUAAAAAAAUACUUGCUAAUCCUAGUUAGCAGGUACUUUAUACUUAUCCCAAUGUUUCACUACUGACAUUAUUUUCUCAAAGAAGUCAUGUCUAUUUUUCAUUCUGUCUAGAAAAGGAUACAUUUUCUAAGUUCAUAGACGUUUUUUCCUAAUGUGAAUCUUAUUAUUAUUAUUAUUUUUAAUAUACAUUGUGAAUAGAUAUAACGUAGUUAGCCUUAUGUAUAAUAAGUCAUUUUAAAGGCAUAGUAGCCUGUUUUGUUAUAGGGCUGUUAAAUGAAACAUAUUGUGUACUACCUUUCCAUUGGGACCAUUUGAUUUCAGUCACUUUGGAUGCAGUCUGGGGUGCACUUUGUAUUAUGACAAUGGUAAUAAACAAAUAAAAAUAAACAUAUUUACAGCCAGUUUAACAAAACACUCACACAUCGCUCUUCUAAAGUAUCACAAGUUCAGUUUGAAUCAUUUUUUAUAAUGUUUUUUAACUCUUGUAUUGUCAAGAUUUCUUCUGAAGACCACAGGUCACAGAAAAAGCCCUGUGAUCUGACCACGUCCCGAAUCGUUCAGUUUAUAUGGAAAUUGUUAAUACCACAUUGGAGUCUUCAGAGCUUCAGUGUACCCAAGACUUCAGGGCAUCAGUGUAUACCCUCUUGUCAUAAUAAUGUCUAACAUAACUAUUUAAUAAUGAUAAUAAGAUACAAAUAGAAACCACAAACAUACAUAAUAACCUUUAUAAUGCUAUUUCGAUAUUUUAUUCUUCCAGGCUCCAGCGUUAAUCCAGUCCAACAAAGUAGCUCUUUAUGGAACUUCUACUCAAUGAAAGUUUGGUUUUGAAAAGCACCCUGAAGUUUGGAUAACACACUUUUCAUCUCACCCAAAAGUUUCUAAAGUCAACAGCAUUGAAGUUGUUCUAGCCCUUUGUGUUUGUUUCUGUUAUGUGAUCAUGUUUGUGAUCAUUCUGUUCACAUAACAGAGUGGUUAAUUCAGUAAAGCGGUAGCUUUUGUAUUAUUGGGUGGUUAUUAAAAGGAAUUCAAUUUUCACAAUUACAAAUUACAAUAUCAAGCUAUAUCAAUAUCCUGUGAUUACAAUAAGCAGUUUACACUGUAUACUUAUUACAUUAUUAAAUAUAAAAAGAGAGAUAUUUACAUUGUACUCAGUUGUGUAGCCCUUCUACUAUAGCAAUUUCAGAUUGCAAGUAAUACAGCAACUCAAGUGACUGCAAGCUGGGCCUUUUGGAAAUGAGAUGUGCUGUCUCAAGAGGGCUGGGAAGAUAAGAUCCAAAAACAUUUUUCUUAAGCCUUAAACAAUAAUAGUUUUAGUAAAACACGCCUGGGGUAUCAAAUAUUACCACGGUUGUUUAAAGACUCAAGCAUUCAAUAUCCUGCUUCCCAGAACAGAAUAAACAGAAAUAAUUUUGCUUAAACUUCCAUUCCUGUGUGAAAGGGGAUACCACAGAGAAUAUUAUAACUUCUACAUUGUAUUGCAGAAGAAAAGCAAUUCUCUCAACCAGCUAUUGUUUGGUUGUUGAACCGGACAGAUUGCUAUUGGAAUUUUUACACUCUGAAAAUCGUGGGCAUUGUAUUUACAGUUUGGAAAACUCAAGACAGAAAUGUAAUCUUCUAUACGCAUUGCUAGAAGGUCACUAGAGAAACAAAGAAAACUGAUCAGCAAUGUUUAGCCAACUUAACGACCUCCGCUACAUGACCCUGAGAUGCAAAUAUGAUUUCUGGUUGAAAAAUUAGUUCAUGAUAAAUUCCACAUUUCAUACAAACAGUCUUAGUCAUUUCUACAUACUGACCAUUCAUUUACAUUGUUGGUCACACACAUAUAAAUACACAAUACUCCUUUGAGAUUCUUCUGGAAUUCAUAUAACUUGCUGUACUGUUAAACCCUCUUACAGCUCACGUGCAGAGGUCUAGGGAACACAACAGACCAGUAAACCAGAAUAAGAUAUGCAUCAGAAAAGAGUUCUACCUGUACCCUGCUGAACUACCGUGUGGUAGCGUCCUGCAAUGGAGGGUCCUGAUUGGUGAAAGAUCUGAGGGUUCUAAUGUACAACAAAUGGAGUUCCGAGUACUCGGCACGCUAAUGUAAUAAUACACAUGGACAGGUAACAAUGGUCCAGGAGCCGCUGCUGUCCAUUCUUUCUGAAUAAGGCAGCCAGUGAAGGUGACUGGCAUGCCCCAUUACAAUAACAAGGCACUGGUAUUCUGCAGUUAGGCAUUAGUUAUGUAUUGUUUUCCAUGUAAUGAUCUCAUUCCCUGGUCUGUUCAUUAACUUUUUAAAUACACAUGUAUCCACCUAGGGCAAAUAUUAGUCUGGUGGCUUGUUGAAGAUGUAGAAACUGACAGACAGUGCUCUGAAUAGUAAAAAAGCUCUUACACUAAAGUACAUGCCACAUGUUUCUUGUUGGGCUUCAAAAUCCUUUCUUACAUUUGCUGAAGGGUAAAAAAAAAAAGAAAUCUGAAAUAGUUUUUUCUGGGGUUUCCUGGACAGACCAUCUAAAAAUAAGUCACUAUCUUUUAAAUUUUGGAUAAUGAAGUUUCUAUGAAGCCUAUACCCUUUAAAUAUACAAACUAAAUACCAAGAAGGCAGUAUAUAUUAUACCCCCUUUAGCCAUGAUUUUUGACCACAUUUGUGACCCCAGAGCCUAAGGAUAUAUAUUUUUCAGCUUUUUUAUUUUAUUUGUUCUUAUAAAUGCCUCUCGCAAACAAGUAUUUGAGGAACAGGACUGGGGUAACCUCUUUCAACAAUACUGCCCCAGAAGGUAUUUACAUUAUUGUCGGUUAAAAUGAUGAAUGCAGGAAUUAUCCAGCUACAUUUGUACUAUAGUAUGUGCCAUUGCAGUAUACAAGGUCGUUUUCCUUGUUUGGUUUUGUACCUCCUGUCUUUGACCUAUUGAACGCCAAAACAAACCCACGUAUGCCAAAAUGUGGCUAGACAUUCCAGUCUGUUAUGUAUGUAUACUGAGCAUCAAAAGAAACGUAUCACUUAUAUUUGAGCACCAAAAGAAAUGAAUCACUUAUAUUUGAGCACCAAAAGAAACAAAUCACUUAUACUGGAGCAUCAAAAGAAACGUAUCACUUAUAUUUGAGCACCAAAAGAAACAUAUUACCUAUAUUUGGAUAGAAUUCACUAGAUGUGAUCAAAAAAUGACAAACUCUGUUUUAGAGCAGGUGCAGUGUCUUUCUAUUGUGCAGAUUAACAACUGACAUCACGAAGAUGCUGCAAAAUGAUCUGUUGAUCUUGGGCAGGUGUUGUGACUCUUCGUCUCCCAGUUUGUGGCCUGUCAUUGACAGAGUGUGUCUGGUUAUACUGUCUCGCCAGGUUUGAAAUCGCUGGCUGUGAGCACCCAAGACGGCGAGCACAGCACGCUGCCCUAAGUCCAGCCUCCAACAUGCCGAUUGCACGAAGGCGCUGCUCUCUUGACAUGUGGCAUGUUGUUUUAUUUUUUUCUGUGAUUUUCUUUAUUGCGUUUAUUCAAGCUUGCAAUUCAACAGCUGAAAUCACUCCAUAUCCAGUGUCCAAUCAACUGUCUCACUAAUUAGGUGAUUAAGUACAUAUGCCUCAGUCACAGUCACUCAAGGGUGUCAUGGGCAAGGAUGAAUGAUCGAGUGAUUAAAAAUAAACCAAAAACAUUUCGUCAAUGUCCAUCAUUUAUAGACCUUAUGUUUUUCGAAAAUAAAUGUGUUAUAAUAGUGAUAAGUUUCUUUUGAUGCUAGGUAUAUGUAUGUAUGUAUGUAUGUAUGUAUGUAUGUAUGUAUGUAUGUAUGUAUGUAUGUAUGUAUGUAUGUAUGUAUGUAUGUAUGUAUGUAUGUAUGUAUGAUUAUUAUUAUUAUUUCUUUUAACGAUGGAAAGCUGAUGACAGGACUCAAAGCCUGGCUCUAAGGGGUAUAAUGAAUUUGUUUGAUAUGUGUAAUAAAUGUCCCAUGAUGUUUGUUGUAAAUCUGUUUUCUACUGCUCUUACAACAGACCAUAGCUUGUCCUAAUAUACAUUAAUACUAUAAAUGAUUCUGCUGUACGUUCCAUAAAUACAGUAGGAGGACAGCUUUCCUUGAGUGUGGAUACCUCGACUGGUUUGAGGAAAAGCUUACGAGACACAAGGCUCAUUUCAAAAAGACACAACCACUGAAGUUUUCUCACCUGAAAGGCAGAAUGCCAGCAUUCGCUGCUUCCCACCUUUCCAGGAGACUUCCAGCUGUAAUAGACGGUAAUAGCCUAAGACAAAUCAGCCCCUUCUUGUAAAAAUAGCACCAAAUAACCCCUGCUCUCGUGAACACUCGAAGAUACUGCCUUUAUUCCCACAACCACGACAGCAUUCAUAAAUAAAAUAUAGACCUAGACUUAAACAUGGUCAUGUAGCCAGCAUACUUCUACAGCUUGCUCCCCACCUGCUCUCAGUGCAGACCUUGGAUUUUUCAGUGUAUAUUGUUUACAAGUGCCUAGCACUAUAAUAAAUCACUCACAUUUCAGUGCCACAUAUUUGUUUGAAGAAGAUUCGGGUUCUUCACUGAAACAGCAUAAAACUUGCUAAUUGUGCGACACGUUUCAGAGGCUUUUCCAUUUAAUGUAUUGUAUUUUUUUCUCGGAUCAGCUGUAUUGAACUGUGCCUGAAUGAGUGGCCGGGGUAAACAAUGCUGAGAGCAUGCAAGUUUAACAUCAAUCGUCACAAUUCUCUAAUAAUGACCUACAGUAGGGGGUUCACGUCUUGAGAGAAUGAUAAUGACUUGAUCACUUAUUGUGCAAAAUAUUUACAACAGGUGCGUCCUGAUGAAUAUCAAGUUGCCAAAGUAAAGUAUGCAGUUAAACGAUACCUGUAGUAUAUAACCGACUGCACAGUAAAAAUAUGUCAAAGUGUGCUAUUUUUGCCAUGUACAGGUUAAAUGAUCAUGUUUAUGUUUGCACAGUGUUGACUAGUGGUGACCUAUGUCAAAGGUCACAGAUGACAUAUACAAUUUUUCUGUGGCCAUCAAUAAGGCUGACAUGCUUCCUAAUAUAGUAUGGAAUUCCAUGAAUACACAGAUAUCCUCAGGAUUCGCCUAGUAGCAGAGGUGACCAGCGGCCAAAGGUUACUGGGUAUUGUUUUUUAUAAUAAAGUCCCCCCGAUGACAAUUUAAGAAAGCAAACUUGAGACACAUAAAAGGCCAUGAGUAGGGUGUACAUAAUGAGGAGUGAAGUCGAAGGUUAAGACUUGGUGGUAUCAAGUGGCAUUUUAUUUCUGUGUUGCUCGAUAUAAUAAUCUACCGAUCUGUGAACUGAAAGAAAACCCUCGUACACACGCAGUAUCUAAUUUCAGUGCUGGGCAAGCUUCUGAUCUAUUCACCUCCAUUGAUCUUACAAUUAAACCAUGUUCUAGAUGAAGAUCAUAAGCAACCUGCUUGUUUUACAAUUCCACAUGAUAAAUGUGAAGGGUUUGAGGUCACCCUACCAAAGUGUAGCUGAAGUGCCAUGCGCAUUUAGUGGCGAUUAAAUAUGAAUGGCCAAGGUCAUACAGGUCAUAAUGUGCCUUUAGUAUAAGUGACCAAUGCCGAAUUCAAAGGUCAAAGUGGAAUGAGUUGUGCUCUGGUGUUAGAUGGAACACAGCCAGUUGCUGCAUCCUAUCGUCUAUGAUUUAUGAGUGUAGAUAAUACCAUGGAAGGCAAGGGAAACACUUCAGCUUUCAAAUCCCUUCAGCUUCUGUAAACUCAACAUUUAUUCAUAUCAAUCAACGUGUCAUAUUGAAUCAGCACUAUGUGCUUUUGGAAGAGAUUAAAAGGCUUUGUGCUACUACUUCUGCAGGAUAAGACUUUCUAUUGUGUGGAUGCACACACACACACACACACACACUCGCACACACGCACACACACUCACGCAUUCUCACAAUCACUGUCUUACCUGUGCAUGUAUAGCCAAGGUCUUUGGACAAAAAUCAGCUAUUUACUCACUUGGAAUCUCUUCAGAAACAUACCCUGUGGGCCAGGUUUUCUAUAAUAAUUGGUAAGCAUAGUAAAUAUCAGGUAUCAUGACAGUGUAUACCUGAUAAUAUAAAGGAUCUCUUACAUAUUGCCCCCUGGCCUUUUAAAUACUUUAAGAGAGCGAAACACACAGAGACUAUGUUCACUCUUAAAGGUGCUUUUCAAAGCCUUUGUUCACAAAGUGAUACACACAAUGUCAGUAUUGAGAUCUGCCUAAAGGAUCCAAGAUGUUUUAUAAUAAAUUAUGCUUUUUUGGGGGAAUAUAUAUAUAAUUUAUUUCUUAGCAGGCACCCUUAUCCAGGGCAACUUACAAUUGUUACAAGAUAUCACAUUAUUUUUACCCAUUUAUACAGUUGGGUUUUUACUGGAGCAACCAAGAUAAAGUACCUUGAUCAAGGGUACAGCAGCAGUGUCCCCCACCUGGGAUUGAAUCCAUGACCCUCUGGUCAAGAGUCCAGAGCCCU